CAGAUCCUCCCCAGUAAGGGUAAGACUGGACAUAUUCACUAUCAUGUAACCAUGUUUGUAGAAGCCAAAAGUGUUCAGGUGGACUUUCUGCCGAAUGUCAUCCUGAAAGAAUAACCAUUCCUUUAAGAGGCAAAGGAAGGGUCGAGGUGUUUCAGGACGCCCCCAACCAGAUGGAGGCUUCCAGCGACGAGGACGUGGAUGCCAGUGGCAUCUCUUAGCGGAGCGGCUUUGGCUGUCACGCUGGGCUUGACGGGGAUGACCCUCUUGUCCGGGUGUGCCAAGACAGAGUCCCUGCCCUGGCUGAGCCACUGGAGGGCGCUGAGGAUGCAGGGGAAGACUAGGGUUUUGCUGCAGCGCUCGGCUGCCACCAGUGGGAGAGCGUCGCGGGAGAUGAGCAGCUGGGCUCCAGGCUUCUCUUCCUGGCCGUUGAGCAGGCGCCAGCUCCUCUGGUUGUCCAGGCAACGGGUGAGUGUGUUGGAGUUGUUCUAUUGAACUGACCUUUCGCCAUAAUGGGGCUUGGCUGGAAGCCAGCGGCCGGCGACACGCCUUUACUCUCGUCAGCGGGGGAAGGGAUGCUCUGGUCUACAGGAGAAGAGUAGAAGAUGAGGAAUACACAUGACCUGAAAUCACCAGACAAUCAAACCAUACCAUGUCCAAUAAUCUCACACCUGUAUACACCCAGGUUGUUCCUUUACCCUACCACCCACAGACCAGCUUCAAACACUCACUCCGACCUACCAGGAAGGCAGCGUCUCUGUAGCCAACUGUGGCUGAGCUGCAGGGCAAGGGAGGCGUUGGAGCGCUGGUGGUGGCCAGCCAGGCCCAGACGCAGAGGUCCUGAGUCAGCAGGGUACUCCUCCAGUUCUGGGCACACCCAGAGAGGACACUGAGGAGGAGGAAGAGUCAAAGUUAUUCAAGGACAGUCCAAGGGAUAGAUAUCAACGAUCAUAAUUCACAUCAAAGUCCAAUAUUAUGCAAUUGUUUGUGUUACCCUGAAAUGUAACAUUAUUAAACCAUUUGCUCAUUUACUGCUUGCAUAUAUCAUAGAAUUCUUACGAGGCUCUUUGAAACUGUCAUAUGCCCGCCCAGGAUAGUUUUUUUUUUUCAUUAAACGACUGAGGAAACUUCUGCUGACUUUUUAAAAGGACAUUUUACUCAAAUUAAUAAAGUGGGGCACCACUGCUAAAUAAAUACAGGGGAAACAUUGUGCUCAUACUUGAUUAUAGGCCAAGUAUCUACAAACAGUCUACAGACAAUGUUGUAUCUUGUUUUAUGACUUCUUUAUUGGCUCACCCCAAUCUCCUUUGCUCUCUCUUUGAGAACCAUCAUAGGGCCGUCGGGUUGCUUCACAGUGAAGGCAGGAACUCCUGGCUGAGGAGACACAAGAAAUAAUUAAAUAACGUCAGUAACUCCUGUUUAUUUCAGCAUAGUCAAAUGUUAGCACUUGUGGCUUUCUUGGUGUUUUACUACAUGCAUUAAACAAUCAUGUGUCAAUUGAGGCUACUUUGUAACAUUCUAGAGGUGGUGUUCUGAAAAUGUUCUGAGUCAGAAUGUAUCAAAAGUGCAGCCUUGACAAAGCAAGAGUUAAACUGUACUGCAAUCUAACCUUAAAAAUGCCCCCUUUCUGCCAGGCAAUUUUCUCGAUGGUAUCCCCCAGUAUUGAGGUGUGAUCUAUACCCAGGGAGGCGAUGCCACACACCCACGGCCUCCUGUCAGAGGAGGACAUACAGAGCAUAGACUACAGAGUUCAGUGGACUCAAUGGAUCUUCACACAAAAUAACUUUGUUUAUACAGCAGGGAAAGUGAGAGUGAGAUAAAUGGUCUGUAAGUUACUGCAUGAAUUACAUUUUUUAUCAGAUUUCAUGUUAAAGGUAGACUCUAAAUGACAUAGCCAUGUGGUAGAAGUGAGCGACACGCAACACUCUGAUCUCACAUCAUCCGAGCAUGUGCACGGGUUCACUUCACGCUGUUAGAGCGUGGUAGCCACGGGAACAAAACAGAGAAGUUGAGCCUCGUGUUUCAAUGCUCUUAGUGGUCGCGGAAAAUGACCCACUAGGUGGUUUACUUUCUGCAUCUACAUCAUAGCGCUGAGUCUACCUUUAACUAGUUUGUAUUAGCUACUUGUUUUGGAAGUGUAACCAGCAGGUGAAGGGUGAGAACAGAAAUGAACUGCAUGUCAGAUCUGCCAGUUCUCGUGUUGGUGACCAUCUAAUGUAGUACUAGCUCUGAUCUGACCAUGGAGAGGUCCUACAGGCGAGAAUGAUUUGUAUCUCAAUUAUGGGAAAGUACAGGGGCAAGUCAAAUUAAUAAUUUGUUCAGCGUAGAAAAUGUAUUCCAUACAUAGUUAGUAGAUAAGCAUAUCAAACCUGAAUGCUUGUGCCUACGUCGUACAUCUUUUGAAAGUCUUUAGCUCAUUAAAAAAAGGUCUGUUCUCAACAACCCUCUUCAAAUAGCACCCAAUGUCUCUCUCGCUCUAUCAACUAACAAUAAAUGGAGACCUUUCAUUGCAAAAUGGGGCUGCUGACAAAAUGGAAGGCUUGACGAGACAGUCAGUCACGCUUUGUUAAUGAGGUCGCACCAUAGGACAAAAUGGUUGAAGGGCUUGUCAAGUGAGUUCAGUGAGACAUUAGGCACACAGCAGUAGUCACUAGAGACUUUGGAACUGAGCCAGGGGGUACAGUGAGGGGAAUUAGGGUAUGCUGCAGAGGGGGAUUCCAUGAGAGGGAAUGGUUACAUCAGCUGCAGCAUCAUCAUAGAGAUCUAUUUCUAAUCAAAUUAAAGGCGAUUACGGACCAUUGAACUAAAUCCUGUUUGUUUCCCAUCCCAUAGGAUCCAAUUCCAUGCUUCUUACCGGAUUAUGUUUGUGCAGUCGUAGGCUCCACCAAUCCCAACUUCAAUCACUGCCAAGUCCACCUGCAUCACAAGACAAUAUGGGUGGCUGAGCUCAACCCACAUUUCUAUUCAGUCAUUUCAAGAGGUCAAUUGAAAGAAUUGAUAAGUGCCACUUUUUUUAUUUUACCAAGAAGAAUUGAGUCAUGAAAUGUAAUUAACUUCCUGAUUUGAUGAGAGUCGAUCUGACCCUGUGACAGAUAGGCCAUAAAUCUCAGGAGAUUGUUUACCAGGAGAUUGUUUACCAGUACAGGGUGUGACUCAUUAGUAGCCAUGAAGAUGCCACCACCAAUAUAAAAGGUCACCACUAUGCAUUAGUGUCUGCAAAACAUGAGGGGCCCCUUGUCUCCUUUUUCAUGCCAAUCCUAUCAGGUGUGUGAAGAAAUGAACAAGGACUGAAGGGAAAGGGAGCAACCACCAGUCCCAGACACCCCAGCAACGCUGCACAGGGACACCAACAGAGG